GUCCACGCCGUAAACGAUGAGCGCUAGGUGUUGUGGGUGUUGACCCCUGCAGUGCCGCAGCUAACGCAUUAAGCGCUCCGCCUGGGAAGUACGGCCGCAAGGCUAAAACUCAAAGGAAUUGACGGGGGCCCCGCACAAGCGGUGGAGCAUGUGGUUUAAUUCGACGCAACGCGCAGAACCUUACCUGGUCUUGACAUCCUAGGAAUCCGCCAGAGAUGGUGGGGUGCCCGCAAGGGAACCUAGAGACAGGUGCUGCAUGGCUGUCGU
rnacentral:rRNA from 1 species